rnacentral:misc_RNA from 1 species
GAAAUGCGAUAAGUAGUGUGAAUUGCAGAAUUCAGUGAAUCAUCGAAUCUUUGAACGCACAUUGCGCCCUUCGGUAUUCCGUUGGGCAUGCCUGUUCGAGCGUCAUUUAAACCUUCAAGCUCUGCUUGGUGUUGGGUGUUUGUUCCGCCUUAGCGCGUGGACUCGCCUUAAAUUCAUUGGCAGCCGGUAUAUUGGCUUCAUGCGCAGCACAUUGCGUCAUGAUGUUGGCGUACCCCCCUUCCAUUAAGCUUUUUUCUUAGUUUGACCUCGGAUCAGGUAGGGAUACCCGCUGAACUUAA